GAGCAGAGAAAACUUUCAAAAAUGGCUUCGCGAAAUUAAAGAAAAAUCAAUCAAAGGCUUAAUCUUGAAUUGCUAUGUGCGCAAAAAGUUGAAGUUUCAAAACUUGAACUAAGACGAUGUUAAAGAAAAAUCAACGUGAAUCAACACGUGGCGUAAACUUAGUUAGACUAAGAAAAAGUUCUAAGAGAAAACAAAGAAACGCACCACAGAAGGGUGUGGGCAGAAGAGAGGGUAUAAGAGUCUAGAGAGAAUAAGAGUGAACAAGAGAGUGAAGAGAAAAAGAGCAACCCCACUUCACUGGUUUUAUCUUCUCACACUGGGAGUGUUUCCGGGGUGUGUGUGUGAGGAGAAAGGAGGGGUCGUGGAAUCUCUGAUUAUUUGAUCUAACUUAUUCUUUUGGCUGGUAAAAGAGUCAGAUCUGAUACUCACUCACUAUGAUUAAUAUCAUUGAAUGCUAGGUUUCAUGAUAAAUAAUUUGAUACUAAACACAUAUGAAUGAAGUGCAGGAUCACAUCAAACAUUCUCAUUAUGUUUUAAGUAUCACAUUGAACAUGCUAAAUUACUCUGAAAUGAAACAGAUAGUAACACAUGGAAACUGUGAACAACAAAAGAGUAAACACAUGUGAAUGAACGUCAUCAUGAUUAAUAAUGGAUUCUAAAUACUCACAUUCAGAUUAUUCAAUGACAUUAUAACCACCUAAUGGUUAAAAAUACUAAAUAAACAUCUACAAUAUAAACCAAACAUUUCUAAACUAUUUCUGUGUUCAUAGAGUAAGUUAUGAUCCAUAGUCAAUAAAUUAAACUCUUAACAGUUCAUGAAACAGUCUGAAAAGCUGUUGGUCUAAAGAAACUAAAGAGCGAUAACUCGGCUUCUGGAGCACAUAGAAAAACGGGAAACAUCUCAUUUUAACACAAAUUUCAUGAUUAGACAGAUUAGUACAUUGCUGAAUGCAUAAGAUGUCAUGAUCAGUCAUUUGUAUUCUUUCACCAACGGAAUGUAGUCUUUAUCAGUGCAUGGUCGAGCAGGGUUUUACGACCGAGGUCUGGAGGUCAGUGUCCCCCCUUUUCCUGGGGUCCGUAUGUUCACACACUUUAAGACGCUAAAUCUCAAAUGGGAGAUCUGGGUUGAGGUUAAUGUUUAUUUAGAUGGUCAGCGAUGGAGUCAGUUUGAAAGGUAAUAAAAACUCUGUCUCUGUUCUCCGAAUCAACCAAUCGUGAAGAGUCAGAGGUUUAGUCAACCUCCGGUUGGGUCACUUAUUUAACCUGAAAGUGUAAACGAGUCUGGAAAGAUUUAUAUCCUGUUUCCUGGGACCAGAUAAGGAAACUUUCCUCUGAGGAAUGUGUGGGUUUCACACCCAGGGUUGUCUUGAUUGCUACAGUCCCCCCUUCGUCACGGUGGUCCUGUCUAUGGAGCAUCGGGACGACGAGUAGACAACCAUGAAGCAGCAGCAGCAGCAGGUAUAUGCAAAUAGGACUGAUGCGUCUCAUCGUCACUAUGUGAAUCACUAGGACUGCUUUGAGAUAAAAUUAAGCAUGCAUUAAGCUAUCAAAUAAAAUCGUCUAGUUUUUAGACUUUUCUCAGUUAACUAUUGGUAGACUAAUGUGAAAGAAAAUCUCCUAAUUUUUAGUAUUAAUGAGAUUUAGAAAAGCACUCUUUAGUCUGAAUGCUAACUGGAUCUAAAGCUAUAGCUGUUUUUCACGCUUGCUGGAGAAGUCUGAAAGUUCCAUUUCAGUUUCAAAAAUGGUUAAGACUUUGGUGGAAAAGAAAUGUCUGCUAUAGACAUAUUAACCAUCUGUGUAUGAGCAUAGUCAACCUGAAUCACAAACAUCAAAAGUUUACUGCACAGAGUUUCUCUUAAGCUUUGUCUGUUAAACUUGGGGAUGAUGCUCUUAUUGGUUUGACUAAUUAUCUGCUGUUGAGUCUGAAAUUUGUCAAUCUGAGUCUCAAUGACAGAAAUUUCAGCUUUUAAUCUGUUCAUGGGAUAUUUGACAGCUGACAAGCUGACCAUAUUGACAGAGGAGAGACAAAUGCUAACAAAGAAAGCAGCAACUGGGUUGCAGUCAUCAAUGUAUCACCACAGCAUUUGGAUAUCUUAUGGGAGUCAUUUAGCUUUGGCUGGGUGACUUCUGCUUUCGCAGGACUCACGCCUUCAUGACUCCACAGUGUUAAUCUCAGUGGUUAGCUGAGUGGUCAUGUUUAUUCACCUUCAAAGUGGAUGAAACCGAUUGAGGUGGAUAAUAAGAUCGUCGUUUCGAGAUCGAGUGUGAUUUACUCUGAUUCUGCCAGUCAUUCACCCCCCUUUGGCGGUGUUGAUGGUUUUUCCUUUGUCUAGGAUAAAACCCACCGUGACAGGAGUCUGAAUAACAACAGUUGGUCUCAAAGUUUACCCGGCAUUGGUCUGUGUCAGACCUGGGCCUUGGUGUGUAACUUUGACCUUUGUGAGUUUGUUGAGGUCGAAAAGGUUUUGGAGGCCAGGUUAACCACUCAUUUGGAGGCUUAUCGGAGCCUGAAAAUACACAGUCUGAAGUUUCGUUCAGCUCCAUGGGCAGUGAUUUUGUCUCCAUAGCCAAGAGAGUAACGGGCUCUGCCUUCUUAGCCAAAGUUUGUCGUUGUUUGGCAAAACCUUUUACAGCAAGUUCACGAAGCUGUCGGCUAGUCAAAGUGUUUGGACAAGCUAAGACGCCAAGGUGAUGACUGGUGGUAGGGUGGAGGUUCUGGACCAACAGCGUUUUGAAGUUCAAGUCCUCCUCCAUUUCUGGUUCAUUUCGGAAACCAAAGUAAGCUUCGCGUAAGCGGUUGUAAUAUUGUUGGGGAGAUUCUGAUCUCCCUUGUUUAAUAGACAGAGCAGCAGAAAGGCCUGUCUGGGUCAAAUAAUCAGAAAACUCUUCAAUUAAUGCUUGGCAGAGCAAGUCAUAAUUAUUUCUGACAUGAUAAGGCUGUUGUUCAUGGAAACUGCUAACCUCUCGACUUGACGUCGCCUUAAUAAGGUAGAUUUUGUCAUCAAUGGUGGCACCUGGAAAUUUCCUCAGGUAAAAGUCAAUGUCUUUCAAGUAGGUGCAGGUGUCAGUAGCACCUUGGUGCUCAGGUUCAAAGCGUGCUACGUUGCGAGCAAUUUUGUCAAGAUCCCUAUCUGAGGGAGAUGGUAAGAAGCCAUCAUGAGGAGGAGAGUAGGACUUUUGGCUUAAGGAUGACCUCUCAGGGUCAAGCAGGGUCCUGUCAUGAUGCUGAGAGAGAUACUUAAGAGUUGGUUUGGAAGGAAGUGAUGGCGCUCUCUCAGGAGGCUGAUCACCUAUCAUUUCUUCAAGAAAUGUUUGCUCCAUGCGUUCUCUUUGGGCUCGACCUGACUGGAGGGAGCAUUGUAACUCUCUUUGGGCAUCUUCAAGUUCUUUGUCUGUCUUUUCUUGCCGUUCUUGACAAAGAAUUAACUGUCUCUGAGCUAUCUGUAGCUGGUGCUGUAAGGUAGAAGUUUGCUUCUCCUUAACUUCAAGAGCUUCAGCACGCACUUUGACCAGUGCUUUCAAAGCAUUUACAUCUUCUGUUGCUUGCUCUAGUAGGGAUUCUGACUGUAUCAGAUCCUCUGUGGUCUUAGCAAGCUGCUUAUUCGUGUCAUCAAGUUCUUUCUCCUUUUUGUAAAGGGUUUCAUUAAGUCUUUCAAUCUUGUCUUUGAGAUCAAGAUUUUCUUCAUGACUUAUCAGUGAGGGAAGCUUUGACGCUUCACAUCUGGCACUGUGUUUUUCUAAAACACUUAGAGACUUCUUAGUCUCCUCUAGCGUCUUUUUCAGUGCGCUGUUUUCAUCUUUUUGCGUCUUUAUCUUUGCUAAAGCGCAUUCCAGCAAGUAGUCUUUAUACUCAAGCUGAGAAGACAUCACGACAGACAUGCAUCUAGUGAGCUCUUUGUCACGCAGUGUCGUGGUUAAGGCUGUUUCCAGUAAGUCAGCCAUUGCAUCCUCCGGAUUGGAGGGUUUGGCCUUUCGAAUCUUAGUCAUGUACUGAGGUAUCAGCUGACUAGUCAAGUUUGCCAACACUGUGUGUAUGUCCCUCAGGGGGUCUCCCUGGCUGGACUCUUUUGUGUUAGGCAUGUUUGGUUUUGGUAAAGAGGUGCAGCUGGUUGGUUGAUGAGUUUGAGUUGACUUAAAAUGAAAGGAAGAAGCACAAUAUCAAAUUAAGUGGGUUAAUCGACUUAAUUUAUCAGUGCUUGAUAAAGAGGAAGAGCCUAUCUGAGUAGAUAUCUAAUGGAGAGAAAAAAAACAUUAAGUUAAAUUCAUUUCAAUAAAAAUUGAAAGAAAAACAAGGUGAAAUAAUGUUAAAUUAAAUUUAACAUCAGAUACAGAACCAUUGAAUAAAGGGUUCAAUUUGUCUCCGUGUUGCAGAGAUCGGCAAAGCUUAAAUAAACUGCCUGAUGCAGUUGGAUGAAUUUGAAAAAUCAAUGAAAUUGUCAAUUUAAGGAAUUAACUCUGAAGUUAAUUCACAAAUUGCAAUAAAUCCAAAGGUUCAACUACCAAAUCCAUCUGGAGUGUUAAAAGAAAUUUCAAAUAUUAAUUAAUUUGUUCAUUAAUUAAUUAAUCAAUCUUAUGAGGAGGGUUAAUACAUUCACGUAUUAUAGGGAACAGUAAAACUGCUCACUGGUGUGAUAAGUAACAACAGAUCAGGUGAUUGAUUCAAGGAGUUACUUCAUCAAUACAUCAUGGAGGCUCUUAUAACAAAGAUAAAAAUCAAAAUCAAUGAUCAGUGAUUUAGAAUAAGCACAUCAAACUUCAUCAACCAAGUCAAUCACUUGAAUUAUGUCUGUAGAGUGUUACACACUGACUACAGAGAGGCAGUACAGCUGGCUGAUACUGCAGGCAGAUAAUAGCAGUGUUAGCUCAAUACCAAAAGCAACCAUGUGGGGCAGUAUGGAGUUGGGAGAACUGCACAAGCUCAACACAAGUAGAGAAGAAGAAGAAAAGAGGAAACAGUCAUCCAACUAGCCUCUCGUGGCUGUGUGAAGUUGGGAAGCAUGAGGGAAGGGGCCUUUAGGCUCUGCCUCCUUGAAGGGCCUUAUCUGCUUAAGGCCAAAAGGUCAGUCUCUCCACUGACAACAAAGGGUUAACAUUUCACAGCAGGCUGCAUCUGCACCCUCAGACAUAGAACUUUACACCAUCUGCUCAGGCAGAUUGGUUCAAUAGAAUCAUUUACAGGAACAAGAAUCAAAGUGACAAAUCCUUAAACAGCAGAUUCAACUGCAAACUUAAAAUCACAAAUGCAGCGAUUUGUGAACACAAAUUUUGUCUGAAUUCAAUCAAACAACAACCUCCCACUGUUACAGUGGUUUCCUGUGACAGGUAGCUAAUCUGUCAGGGGAAAGGAGGAAAUCUGAAUCCCAUAUAGUUACUAGAACCUCGUAGCAGACUAUAGAGACUUCAGGGGCUUGAAACCACAGCUCGGAGCAUCGCGAACACUGGGUUCAGCCAAAGGCCUUAAAUACAAGCGUACGGCGACGCAACAAUCGUGCACUUAAAUAUUGGACAGUCUAGACAGAGCAGAAGAAGCAGUCUCACUGCUACUCAGAACAACAUUUCACGCUGUCCAGCUCAAACACAGACUACAGGCAUGUAGUACAAAAGUGUGUGAAACACAGAGCACAAAGGUUUUAUGCAUAGAUCAGGAAAACAUCAGAACUUAGUCAAGCAACUUCAGCAAGCAUAGCAUUGAUUGUGAUUAAGUCUAAAAUAGCCGGGAAAUAAGUUUCUCUCAUCAAUUUGGAAGCUAAGUUUUAGGUUGUCUGUUAGUAUCCAGAAGUUUUGUUUGAAACGCCUCACACGGGGCACCAAAAUAUAUGUAGUGAUUUAAAUGAGCCUCACACGGUCGCACCAAAAUAUAUGCAGCGAUUUGAAAUGAGCCUCACAAGGCCGCACCAAAAUAAUACUGUAGCGAUUGGAAUUUAUAAUAAAUUGUCUGAAGAUUAAUAAUCUUAAAUUAUGACAUUUAUGCACUCGUUCAAAGGGGCACCACCCACCCUUAAUGGUGGGAAAAUAAAGAAAACAAAAGUUUAAUUCAGAAAUCAAACAUCAAGUCAGUUUUAAUUAAUCAGUUUUAAUUAAUCAGUCUCAUAUCUUAAGUCGAAAUUCUAAUUUCAGGGACUCCACUUCUGGAAGAACACUAACAGACCAGAACUUAGAAAAAUAAUUAUCUGUUUAUUACAGGAUAAAUGAUGGUACAACACACAUGCAAUAAAUGAUGAUAAGAUAAUGAAGAUAAAUAAUAAUAGGUGAAUAAAUAAAGAUUCUGAGUCAGACUAGGAGCACUAAAGUUAAUGAUAGUGAGUGAAUAUGCGCUAACAUAUUAACCUACACUAACUUUGGUGUCGAGAUAAACUCGGAUGUGGAUUUGGAGGAAUCUAAGAUUACCAGAAUAAGUGGAUAUCUGAGUUAUGAACGCAGGAGACAGCACCAGCCCUCUUUGGAGCUCUGGAGGUUUGCAUACUUAAGUGAGACUGGUCCUUGGAGAAGAUAGAGCAGGUUCCGAAGGUCCGGGGCUACUGGCGGUUCAAGGGGUUCAGCUCUGAAGACGACUGAAGUCAGCCGAAGGAUGAGCCAGGAGUUGCAGCACUCGGGCCCGAAGCAAAGCCAGCGCCUGUGGCUCCUGUGGAUGCUCGUUUGGGUACUUCUUUGGUCUCACUCAAAACUCUGGCACAGAGGAUGACCUGGGCCUGCUGGGUUGCGUUCAGAGGUAACUUGAAAUCACGCAGAUAACUCAGAAAAACGAGACUCGAGCAGAGAAAACUUUCAAAAAUGGCUUCGCGAAAUUAAAGAAAAAUCAAUCAAAGGCUUAAUCUUGAAUUGCUAUGUGCGCAAAAAGUUGAAGUUUCAAAACUUGAAUUAAGACGAUGUUAAAGAAAAAUCAACGUGAAUCAACACGUGGCGUAAACUUAGUUAGACUAAGAAAAAGUUCUAAGAGAAAACAAAGAAACGCACCACAGAAGG